rnacentral:snoRNA from 17 species
UCAAAUGACGAGAAAAUUAGCUCUAGAUCAGGAGUCGCUUCUGCGGCGGUGACGGAUAAAGUCAUGUAUUAUCUGAUGA